CGCGGUAUUUUGACCGUGCGAAGGUAGCAUAAUCAUUAGUCUUUUAAUUGAAGGCUUGUAUGAAGGGUUAGACGAGAAAUUAGCUGUCUUUAUUAAAAAAAUGGAAUUUAACUUUUAAGUGAGAGGGCUUAAAUGUUCUAAAGGGACGAUAAGACCCUAUAAAGUUUGAUAUUUAAUUUUUUAAAAAAUAAGAUAAAUAGAUAAAGUUAAUUAGAAAAAAGAUGUUUUGUUGGGGCGACAAGAAUAUAAUUUAUAUAACUGUUUUUAUAUYAAUACAAUAAUGAUUGAAUUAGUGAACCUUUAUAAAGGUAAYAGAGUAAAUUACUUUAGGGAUAACAGCGUAAUUUUUUUUGAGAGUUCUUAUCGACAAAAAAGUUUGCGACCUCGAUGUUGAAUUAAAGGUUCUUUGUAACGUAGAAGUUACAUGAGRRGGUCUGUUCGACCUUUAA
rnacentral:rRNA from 1 species